rnacentral:rRNA from 1 species
GACGAACGCUGGCGGCGUGCUUAACACAUGCAAGUCGAACGGAAAGGCCCUGCUUUUGUGGGGUGCUCGAGUGGCGAACGGGUGAGUAACACGUGAGUAACCUGCCCUUGACUUUGGGAUAACUUCAGGAAACUGGGGCUAAUACCGGAUAGGAGCUCCUGCUGCAUGGUGGGGGUUGGAAAGUUUCGGCGGUUGGGGAUGGACUCGCGGCUUAUCAGCUUGUUGGUUGGGUAGUGGCUUACCAAGGCUUUGACGGGUAGCCGGCCUGAGAGGGUGACCGGCCACAUUGGGACUACGAUACGGCCCAGACUCCUACGGGAGGCAGCAGUGGGGAAUAUUGCACAAUGGGCGGAAGCCUGAUGCAGCAACGCCGCGUGCGGGAUGACGGCCUUCGGGUUGUAAACCGCUUUCGCCUGUGACGAAGCGUGAGUGACGGUAAUGGGUAAAGAAGCACCGGCUAACUACGUG